rnacentral:rRNA from 1 species
AAUAUUGCGCAAUGGAGGGAACUCUGACGCAGCGACGCCGCGUGAGCGAUGAAGGUCNNNGGAUCNUAAAGCUCUGUCCUUGGNGAANAAGGGAGCCGUAAGGCUUCUUGACGGUACCCAUGGAGGAAGCCCCGGCUAACUACGUGCCAGCAGCCGCGGUAAUACGUAGGGGGCAAGCGUUGUCCGGAAUUAUUGGGCGUAAAGGGUGCGUAGGCGGCCUUUCAAGUCAGAUGUGAAAGACCACAGCUUAACUGUGGGAUUGCAUUUGAAACUAGAAGGCUUGAGUGUCGGAGAGGGUAGUGGAAUUCCCGGAGUAGCGGUGAAAUGCGUAGAUAUCGGGAGGAACACCAGUGGCGAAGGCGACUACCUGGACGACAACUGACGCUGAGGCACGAAAGCUAGGGGAGCAAAC